GUGAAUGCGGCAGGCCUAACACAUGCAAGUCGAGCGGCUGCACGGGUACUUGUACCUGGUGGCGAGCGGCAGACGGGUGAGUAGUGCCUAAGAAUCUGCGUGGUAGUGGGGGAUAACGCUCGGAAACGGACGCUAAUACCGCAUACCUCCUACGGGAAAAAGCGGGAGACCUUCGGGCCUUGCUCUAUCAUAUGACCCUAUGUCAGAUUAUCUAUUUGGUGAGGUAGUGGCUCACCAGCGCGACUAUCCAUAAGUGCUCAGAGAAGAUGAUCACUCACUCUGGAACUGACACACGCUCCACACUCCUACGGGAGGCAACUGUGGAGAAUAUUGGACAGUGGGCAAAACCCUGAUCCACCCAUGCCGCGUGUGUGAAAAGUGUCUUCAGAUUGUAAAGCUUUUUAUUUUGAGAAGAAGGGCUUUUACCUAAUACUUUUGUGUUUUGACUUUACCGACAAAAUACACCCCCGCUAACUCUGUGCCAACCCCCGCGGUAAUACAGAGGGUGCAAGCUUUAAUCAAAAUUAGUGGGCGUAAAGCGCGCAUAUGUGUUUUGUUAAUUUAUAUGUGAAAUCCCCGGGCUCACCCUGGGAACUGCAUCCAAAACUGGCAAUCUAGAAUAGGGUAGAGGGUGGUGAAAUUUCCUGUGUAGCGGUGAAAUGCAUAUAUAUAAGAAAGAACACCUGUGGCGAGCGCGACCACGUGCUCAUAUUCUGACUCUGAUGUGCAAAAGCGUGGAGCACAAACAAGAAUAUAUACCGUC
rnacentral:rRNA from 2 species